GACAGAGGUGCCGAGCGUUAGGCGGAAUCACUGGGCUUAAAGCGUGUGUAGGCGGAUCUGUAAGUACCUUGUGAAAUCCCACGGCUCAACCGUGGAACUGCUUGGUAUACUGCGGGUCUUGAGCCACCUAGGGGCAAGUGGAACAAACGGUGGAGCGGUGAAAUGCGUAGAUAUCGUUUGGAACGCCAAUGGUGAAAACAACUUGCUGGGGGUGUGAUGACGCUGAGACACGAAAGCCAGGGGAGCAAACGGG
rnacentral:rRNA from 1 species